CUACAUGCCUAAGUCUUUUCUCCACCUCUCCAGAUUCCCUCUUUCUCUGCUAGUGGAUGGCUAGGGAAGGUGGGCCGAGGGGUGAGGACUGGAGGGAAGGGUAGAUAGGGUAUGCUGAGAGCCUUUUUUAUUCCACAGGAAAGCAUGUACCUCAGGGCUCGGUGGGACUCAUGGUGGCAAUCAUUUACCAGGAAGACCCAUUCUCCAGUUGGUCACAGCUUGUUUUGUUCAAAUGAGCAUACAUUUACCGAGGGCUCACUAUGUGUCGGGCUUCGGGAUGGUACACAAAGAUAAGAAGACGUGGCUCCUGGCCUGGUGCAGUAUCUGGGAUUGGCAUGAAGGGAUGUCUGUUGAGCGGCGGUUGUAGGAGACAUUUCUUUGCCCCAAGGAAAAGCUAGAAAAUUUGAUCUCUUUCUUCUCCGGGAUCUGGUCAUGUGGACAUGUGACUCUGGGAUCUGUGAAGCCUUGUUGCUGCCAGUUGGAGGAUGAAGCCAACACUGAGGAGGCCGAGCAGGAUGAGGGAUCUAUCUCCUUGAUCCUGCCAUUGAGCCAUGGACCCACUGCCUUGAAGCUGCAUCUCUGGACUUUACACUGCGUGAAAUAAUACAUAUCUUUAAUGUUUAAGCCAUUUUAGUUGUGUUUUCUAUUACUUUAGCUAAAAGUACCAUUACUAAUACUGAUGUCUCUGCUUUCAGCGAUGCAUCCCAAAAGCAGUGGGAGGAUUAAAAAAAUAUUCUGUAAUCGCAAUGAAUUGGGGAAGGAAUUUUCUCCUCUUGUAAGAAAGAAUUACUUCCUAAAAAGUUUCUCAGAAGCCAUUUUUUGGAAUGUAACUCUAAAACCUUUCUUAAAAUAGAAACUAUCUACAUACCUGUAUUAUGCUUGAUAUGUUUGAUCUAUAGCUCUCGACUUUUUUUGAGACAGUGUCUUGCGAUGUUGCCCAGGUUGGAUUCAAACUCCUUGACUCAAGCAAUUCUCCCACCUCAGCCUACUGAGUAGCUGGGACUACAGGUGUCCACUCCCAUGCCUGGCCCUAUCUAUAUUUUUUGGAGAGGCGACACAUAAAGUUAGUAAGCAUAUCAUAAUUGGGGACAUAUCAACUCACAGAAAACAAACAUUUCAGGAUUGUGUUAGUCUGUUGGUGAAUUCUUCUCUUUUUCCUCCUCUUUUCCUCCUCCUUCCUCUCUUUCUUUAUCCAUACUUUCUACAUAAACAUUUUGGGAUAAAAUUUGAGAAGGAAUAUUUUAAAAUGUGAUUUGCAAGCUGGAUCAGUUUUAAGACCGAGUUUGCUAGCCCUUGAUUAUCUCCCUGUCCACAUCUUUUCCAUGCAUGCCAGCAGGGAAGGGGCAUGAAAGCAACGAAGGCCUUUUGAAGGGUGCUCCCAUCCACACCUAUUCUAUCCACACCUUUAUCUCAUGGCCAUUAAACCCCAGGCAUCCAUUCUGGACUCUGGUUCUUAGUGGAAGACGUUUCUUUCCUGCUAACCAUACAGAUUGGGCUUAGUGCAAUCUGGGGCUAUUUAUGUCUCCAUAUCCCAAGGCAAUGAUGAUAACUGAUAGCAUAGUGAAUCAAAGAAGCCAUGUUAGUGUGCUGUCCCACUGCUUGACAGCUGUCUGAGGGAUUCACUUAUAUACUCUCACUGCUGGAGCUUCAGCAAAGGUGACUCUGAAAUUGCAUGGUGAAAUUGAUCCUGGGCCAUUCAGUGAGGAGACUCACGCAUGUGGGAGGCUCAUCUCCCAACCAGUCUCCCACAGUCCUGUGUCCCACCCCUCCCCCCGCCCUCCAAUGCUCUCUUCACAUUGCAGACCCUCCUGGCACUCUUAAAAAUGAUUUUUGGUCAUGCCACUCUCUUUCGCUUAAAUACCUUUGUUAGCUCCCUGUCACUUAGGGAUAAAAUUUAAAUGUCUUUCCUUGGCAUCCCUGAGUGUUUUGAGCCUGGCUUACAAUUUAAAAAUUUUUUAGAAAAUCAAAUAAUACCUACCAUGGUUAAAAAAUAAAUAAAGAGGCUCAAAACAGUCCCUUGAUCCACCUUUCUCAUCAUCCUUUAUCCAUAGAGACCCUCACUUUUUUAUUUUUAAUUUUCGUGGGUACAUAGUAGGUAUAUAUAUUUAUGGGUUACAUGAGAUAUUUUGAUACAUGCAUGCAAUGUGUAAUAAUCACAUCAGGGUAAAUGGGGUAUCCAUCACCUCAAGCAUUUAUCCUUUAUGUUACAAACAAUCCAAUUAUGCUCUUUUAGUUAUUUUAAAAUGUACAGUUAUUUUUGACUAUAGUCACCCUAUUGUGCUAGCAAAUACUAGGUCUUAUUCAUUUUAUUUUUGGUACCCAUUAAGCAUUCCGCCUGUACCCCCAAAACCCACUACCCUUCCCAGCCUCUGGUAAACAUCCUUCACUCUUUAUCUCCAU
rnacentral:lncRNA from 1 species